ensembl:lncRNA
CGCGCCUUGGCUACCGGGAGCGCGUAUCCUCCUCCGGCGAGACUGGCGAGAGAAGCGGGCCAUCGCUGCCCCGACCGCGAGCACUGAGGACAUCAUGAGCUCCAGAAAAGAUCCUGAAACAACAUUGGCCUGCAGGCUGUGUUCCACAUUGUGUUGGAGAGAGCAGGCUGUGCGUGCUGUAGGCACAGUGAGCCGCGUGACCAACGCGGUCCUUUAAUAGGCACAUUUUCCCUUUGAUCUUGAUGGCGUGUGAAUGAGGCUUGAAGUUGCUAACUUUAAGAAGCAAUGAAUCAUUAAAUUGAAAGCAUGUCCAACUCAUUGCACAGCUGUUGUGAAAAAACCUCCAGAAUGACUUUCCAGGAGUUUUGCACUAAUUAGAACUCAUUAGAGUUUAUU